rnacentral:lncRNA from 1 species
UGGGUGUUAAUCUUUAUGUUAAGUAAUGAUAUGGUCUAGUUAAAAAAGGUAAAAAAAUUAUUAUGUCUGAAACUGUAAAACUGAAUUUUAGACAACAUUAACAUAUAAUUGCCAAUAUCUUGAGUGAGAGGUGGUAGACCUUUCUAUAAUUUUGAUAUUAUUCGUCCCAAUAGUAGUACACUACACUGUACAAAUCUCUUGCGAUUGUUUUCAUUUUUAUAGAAAUGCACUAAGAAAUAAUUCUCGGACCAUAAACUAAGGAUGAGAUCAGAUGAUCAUCGGUACGCGUAAGCUGUUCGUGCGCCAAUAUUGGCACUAGUAAUGAUAAUCGCUAAUUUAGUCAUCAUAAACAUCAAACUACCUAAAAAACUUUUCCAUGAUUACUACCAUUUCUUUUUUCAACAGGUGGUUGUUUUCUUUGUUCUCGACUUGAUGAAAUGAUGAAACGUUGAUGUUCCUUUUUGUCGAGCCUUCGACUUUAGUCGAAAAAGCGAGACAUAGCGAUCCUACAUUCCGUCGUCGUCGGCGUCGUCGUCGUCGUCGGCGGCGUCCACAAAUAUUCACUCUGUGGUUAAAGUUUUUGAAAUUUUAAUAACUUUCUUAAACUAUACUUGAAUUGUACGAAACUUUGACAGAAGCUUGUUUAUGAUCAGGAGAUAGUAUCCAGAAGUAAAUUUUCUAAAAAUAAAAUUCCAUUUUUUCCGUAUUUUACUUAUAAAUGGACUUAGUUUUUUCUGCCAGGAAACAUUACAUUCACUCUGUGGUUAAAGUUUUUAAAAUUUUAAUAACUUUCUUAAACUAUUCCUGGAAAUGUACAAAACUUGGCCAGAAGCUUGUUUAUGAUCAGAGAUAGUAUCCAGAAGUAAAUUUUGUAAAAAUAAAAUUCCAUUUUUUCCGUAUUUUACUUAUAAAUGGACUUAGUUUUUUCUGCCAG